CGUAGGGUGCGAGCGUUAAUCGGAAUUACUGGGCGUAAAGCGUGCGCAGGCGGUUUGUUAAGAUAGGCGUGAGAUCCCCGGGCUCAACCUGGGAACUGCGCUUAUGACUGGCAAGCUAGAGUACGGCAGAGGGGGUGGAAUUCCACGUGUAGCAGUGAAAUGCGUAGAGAUGUGGAGGAACACCAAUGGCGAAGGCAGCCCCCUGGGUCGAUACUGACGCUCAUGCACGAAAGCGUGGGUAGCAAACAGGACUAGAUACCCUGGUAGUCCACGCCCUAAACGAUGUCAACUAGGUGUUGGGAGGGUAAAACCUUUUAGUACCGGAGCUAACGCGUGAAGUUGACCGCCUGGGGAGUACGGCCGCAAGGUUA
rnacentral:rRNA from 1 species